GUCGGGAAGGCAGCAGGCCCAGCUGUGUCCGG
rnacentral:SRP_RNA from 11 species